UGUGUGAUGAGACUUGUUAAGCGCAGCUUUGCGUGCUCUCUGUUCUGUUCACACUGUCUUGCAAAGUAGGUAAUAUCCUCACUUUCGCUUCCCCAGUGAGGAAACUGGGAUUCAGAGAAGUCAAAGUCACCAGCAAGGAAGUGGCCGAGUCUGAACUUGAACUCCCUGGUGGUGCCGCCAGUGCACUUUCCUCCUCCUGAGAUGUGGGUUGAUUCUGCAGCACCCACAGAUAGUGAAUUUAGCAGUCCAAAGAAGAAAACAGCUGCUUACCAUGAAAUGAAACAAAGGCAAUUAAGACUAUAAUGGGGUGUUAACAUUGAAGUUAUAAGCAGGCUCCAAAAUACAAUUGAUGAAAAAUUCAAAAAAGGAGUCCCUGAUUGCCAGUUGCAUAUUUAUAAAGGAAAUGAGCCUGAGGAACUGCUUGAUAAAUGUUUGACCCCCUCAGGCAGGUAAGACCAUAAAAAGGGAGAGGUGCGAGGUGAUUUUCUAUUUCUUCACUUCUUGUGUAGUGAGAGGAGAUUUUGAGGAAGCCACUAUGUGGUUGGGUACAGGGUCUGACCGCUGUCUGGGGAAUCUACAAAAAAAGAGGAGGGCUGCCCAAUGUUUUGGUGCUGUUAUCAGAAGAAAAUUUCUCUACUGGGGUUGGACUGUGUUCCCAAGGCAUGUUGGAGCAAGGAAUACAAAAUGACUUCCUAAGGACCAUACAUGUGCUACCAGGAGACAGAGUCAGAGAUGGAUCAUUUUUGAUUUUGGGAGUGCAAAGGGAUCCCAGCAGCAAGAAUCUGUAGGUGAACACCUUGGAUAAGGGAGGAAUCAAGAGCAACCAUUAAAGAGAAAUGUAUCCACAUCUGCCUGAAUCAAGGGACCUGAAGUUGGGAGGGACUCCGUGCAGAACCGUCAGACACUCCCAUCAAAACACCACUGAGGAGAUAUAAUGGGCCAGGUCCAGAGAACAGGCAAGCUCUGAGAUUCCAUUAAGACCUUCCUUUACUAUUCCCUUCUAACCUUGGAGAGGUCAGAAACUUUUGGCUACCUAGGGAGGGAGUAGAGAAGAGAAGCAUAAGGUAGAAAAUAUAUAGCAGAAAUCAACAAAGAUUCCCCUUUUCCUCUGCAGUUCUGCAACCUGAAAUAUACUCAAACUAAGGAGAAAAGAAGAAUUAACUCUAAGUCAUCUUGGGAUUUUUAAAUGAUAUCUUGGAUUGACAUUAAACUUUCUGAACUGAGACUAUUUGCAACUUAAAGUAAUUGUACAACUGUCCACUACCUAAGCAUGUGUGGAAAGGUCAUGGGGCAUGCCCACAGGCAUAUCUUGGUUUCUGGGGAAACUAAGAAAAAA
rnacentral:lncRNA from 1 species